rnacentral:ncRNA from 1 species
GUAUUUCAGGCAAAUGGCGUCAGAGUAAAGUUUUGCCCUUUUCAAUCUUUUUUAGUGUGGGAAGGAAAAAGAAAGAAAAAAUGGAUUGGAUUGAACCUCGAAGUGAUGAAAAAAAUGGGCAAACCCCAUUUUUAAAAUAGAAUUAAUAUAAAGUGGUGCCCUAGCUAAAUCAGGCCUCAACCUAAACCGUGAAAACAUGUUUUUGGGAGAGCAAUAUAGGCGUUGUGCCGCUAGGCAAAGUGGUUGAGUGCGACACCCUAGCUUACGCUCCGACCCGAGUAGAAUGGGACACGUGCAAUCGUGUGUGAAUCACGAAGGACCAACUUGCAAGGCUAAAUACUCCCAUGUGAUCGAAAGCGAAUAGUGCUAUGAGAAAAAGGUGGAAAGUACCCCUAGUGGGUGGUGAAAUAGAACGCGAAA